rnacentral:rRNA from 1 species
AGAAUCAACGCUGGCGGCGUGCCUAACACAUGCAAGUCGAACGAGAAAGUGGAGCAAUCCAUGAGUAAAGUGGCGACCGGGUGAGUAACACGUGACUAACCUACCUUCGAGUGGGGGAUAACCUCGGGAAACCGAGGCUAAUACCGCAUAACAUCGCAAGAUCAAAGCAGCAAUGCGCUGGAAGAGGGGGUCGCGGCUGAUUAGCUAGUUGGCGGGUAACGGCCCACCAAGGCGAAGAUCGGUAG